CCUACGGGAGGCAGCAGUAGGGAAUCUUCCACAAUGGGCGCAAGCCUGAUGGAGCAACACCGCGUGAGUGAAGAAGGGUUUCGGCUCGUAAAGCUCUGUUGUUGAAGAAGAACGUGCGUGAGAGUAACUGUUCACGCAGUGACGGUAUUCAACCAGAAAGUCACGGCUAACUACGUGCCAGCAGCCGCGGUAAUACGUAGGUGGCAAGCGUUAUCCGGAUUUAUUGGGCGUAAAGCGAGCGCAGGCGGUUGCUUAGGUCUGAUGUGAAAGCCUUCGGCUUAACCGAAGAAGUGCAUCGGAAACCGGGCCACUUGAGUGCAGAAGAGGACAGUGGAACUCCAUGUGUAGCGGUGGAAUGCGUAGAUAUAUGGAAGAACACCAGUGGCGAAGGCGGCUGUCUGGUCUGCAACUGACGCUGAGGCUCGAAAGCAUGGGUAGCGAACAGGAUUAGAUACCCUUGUAGUC
rnacentral:rRNA from 1 species